rnacentral:rRNA from 1 species
GGAGGAAGGCGGGGACGACGUCAAGUCAUCAUGGCCCUUACGACCAGGGCUACACACGUGCUACAAUGGUAGGUACAGAGGGCAGCUACACAGCGAUGUGAUGCGAAUCUCAAAAAGCCUAUCGUAGUCCAGAUUGGAGUCUGCAACUCGACUCCAUGAAGUAGGAAUCGCUAGUAAUCGCGGAUCAGAAUGCCGCGGUGAAUACGUUCCCGGGCCUUGUACACACCGCCCGU